rnacentral:rRNA from 1 species
UACGUAGGGACCAAGCGUUGUUCGGAUUUACUGGGCGUAAAGGGCGCGUAGGCGGCAAUUCAAGUCAGUUGUGAAAUCUCCGAGCUUAACUCGGAACGGUCAACUGAUACUGUUUUGCUAGAGUACAGAAGGGGGCAAUCGGAAUUCUUGGUGUAGCGGUGAAAUGCGUAGAUAUCAAGAGGAACACCUGAGGUGAAGACGGGUUGCUGGGCUGAUGACUGACGUGAGGCGCGAAAGCUAGGGUAGCAAACGGGG